AUGGCCAUGGUGCUGGACGCCUUCGCGUCCUACAUCGCCGACACGAUCAAGCAGAUGGCGGCGGACGAGGUGGGGAUGCUGCUCGGCGUCACCGGGGAAAUCGACAGCCUGCACGACAAGCUGGAGAGCCUCAGGGACUACCUCGCCGAUGCCGAGAGGAAGCGCAUCACUGAUCGGACGGUGCAGGGGUGGGUCACAAGCUCAAGGGCGUCAUCACCCUCACCCUGCUGCAACCCGCUGCUCUUCUGCUUGCGGCAUCCCAUGUUCGCAAAUGAUAUUGGCAGCCGCAUCAGGAAGCUCAACAAGAGGCUGGACGACAUCUGCAAGCUCGGUGCUGCCUUCAGCUUCAUCAAGCUAGAGACCUACCAGGACUGCAGGCCCGGACGACCUUCUGCGGCAGACCGGAAGACAGAUCCCGUGUUGGAGCGCUCGGCCGUGGUAGGGGAGAAGAUCGAAGAGGAUACACGAGCACUGGUGAAGGAGCUGACAAAGGAUAAUGAUGGCAUCGUGGUGCUCGCAAUCGUGGGUGUUGGUGGGAUCGGGAAGACCACCCUUGCCAAGAAGGUCUUCAACCACGAGGAAAUUCAACACAAAUUUGAAAAGAAGAUGUGGCUGAGCGUCACACAAGACUUCAGCGAGGUUGAGCUGCUAAGGUUGGCCAUCACCACCGCCGAUGGAAAACUCCCUGCAACUGAAGACAAAUCUAUGCUUGUGCCGGCCCUUCUCAAUGCUGUCAGAAAUCAGAAGUUUCUUCUGAAACCAACCAUGGCCAUGGUGUUGGACGCCUUCGCGUCCUACAUCGCCGGCACGAUCAAGAAGAUGGCGGAGGAUGAGGUGGGGAUGCUGCUCGGCGUCACCGGGGAGAUCGAGAGCCUACAGGACAAGCUGGAGAGCCUCAGGGACUACCUCGCCGACGCUGACAGGAAGCGCAUCACUGACCGGAGGGUGCAGGGGUGGGUCACGAAGCUCAAGGGUGUCAUCAUCCCAUGUUCGGCUCACCACAUUGGUAGCUGCAUCAGGAAGCUCAACAAGAGGCUGGACGACAUCUGCAAGCUCGGUGCUGCCUUCAACUUCAUCAAGCUGGAGACCUACCAGGACUACUGGCCCGGAUGGCCUUCUGCGGCUGACCGGAAGACGGAUCCGGUGUUGGAGCGCUCGGCCGUGGUAGAGGAGAAGCUUGAAGAGGAUACGAGAGCGUUGGUGAAGGAGCUGACAAAGGAUAAUGAUGGCAUCGUGGUGCUCGCAAUCGUGGGUGUUGGUGGGAUCGGGAAGACCACCCUUGCCAAGAAGGUCUUCAACGAUAUGGAAAUUCAACACAAAUUUGAAAAGAAGAUGUGGCUGAGCGUCACACAAGACUUCAGCGAGGUUGAGCUGCUAAGUGUCAUGCGGCACAUUCUCCAUGUCAUCAUCGCCAUCCUUGUCAAGACCAGUGUCAAUGCCACCAAAACCAUCCCCAUCUAG
rnacentral:rRNA from 1 species